CCCGGCCCCGCUGCACCACGUACCAUAAUCCAGGUCCAGACCUGCCUCUCUACCUGUUCUCUGUCCGCCCUGCAGCCGAGCUUUUGCCGCCGUAGCCGCCGCCGCCGCCGCAUUAGCCGAGCGAAAAACGGUCCGGUUUCCCCGCAUCCGCAUCCGCAUCCGCAUCCGUCACCCGAUCCACCUGCACGCGACGAGCCGACUACAGACUCACGAUCAGUGCCGGCGAAGAACCCGUCCUCUCUGGAUCAUCCUGACCGACGGCAAGUCUUACUGCUACAUUCGAUUCCCUCGUGAGUACGCGACGCGUUGCAACGAAUGAAGCACAAGGGUGACGCCAUGACUGUGAAGUCUGAGCAUACGUGGGACCGCUUAAGAAGCACCUCCCCCGAAUCCUCCCCGGCGAAAAUAACUCGCCUCACCUCUCCCCGCUCCUUGUCCUCUUCCACCUCCUUCCCGAUCGUCAAAACAUCCCUUAAUAACAUUCGGAAUCUUGUCAACGCAGCAACCAUGGACAAUAUGGACCCCAAACCAAUGCUCAACGACGAUCCGUCGGUCACGUUAACUAUUCGUCUCAUUAUGCAGGGAAAGGAAGUUGGCAGCAUAAUUGGAAAGAAAGGAGAAAUUGUAAAUAGGUUCCGUGAAGAGUCCGGUGCCAAGAUAAAUAUCUCAGAUGGCUCCUGCCCAGAACGUAUAGUCACUGUAACCGGUCCUACAAACUCGAUAUUCAAAGCGUUUACAUUGAUUUGCAAGAAGUUUGAAGAAUGGUGUUCCCAGUUCCACGAUAUUCAAGGAAGCGGCGCAGGUGGUGGCGGCGGCGUUCCAAGGCCGCCGAUCACUCUUCGGCUGAUAGUUCCUGCCUCGCAAUGCGGAUCUCUCAUUGGAAAGGGAGGAUCAAAGAUAAAGGAAAUUCGCGAAGUUACCGGCGCCUCUAUUCAAGUCGCAUCCGAAAUGCUACCAAACUCAACGGAACGUACAGUGACUAUCUCGGGCACCAGCGAGGCUGUCACGCAGUGCAUCUAUCAUAUCUGCUGUGUCAUGCUAGAGUCCCCUCCCAAAGGUGCCACGAUCCCUUAUCGCCCUAAACCCCAAGUUGGUGGGCCAGUGAUCCUGGCUGGUGGGCAAGCCUACACCAUCCAGGGUAAUUACGCGGUGCCCGCCCACUCGGACAUGGGCAAAUUGGGGAGCAAUCCUCUCGCUGGUCUCGCAGCUCUAGGUCUUGGAGGUCUCGCCACGCCUGCCAACACAGGCGGACUAAAUCCAGCUGCUUUAGCAGCACUCGCUGGAAGUCAGUUGCGAACUAGCAACACCAAUAGACAGCAGCCAGCGGCUAACAACCAGACGCAUGAGAUGACCGUUCCCAACGAGCUGAUCGGAUGCAUCAUUGGCAAGGGUGGCACGAAGAUAGCUGAAAUUCGUCAAAUAUCAGGGGCCAUGAUUCGCAUUAGCAAUUGCGAAGAGAGGGAAGGAGGAGCGACUGACCGCACCAUAACUAUCACUGGAAAUCCAGACGCGGUCGCUCUUGCACAAUAUCUCAUCAAUAUGAGUCUACAAUUUCUGUGCGAAUGUAAGAGGCGGAGAGAUAGAGCUAGAGAGAGAGAAAGCGAGAGAGGAAAAGCGAAAGAGACAAGAAGCGAGAGAGAGAGGAAGCGUAUCAUGGACUCGGAGUUAUUGAAAAACAAUAACAUCACCGCACAUUCUUUGACAAUCACUUGUCGCUAAAUUUCAUCUAAACAAUAUCCCUAAUAUGUAUUUCUCAAUUUUUCUAUAAUCAGUUUUUUUUCUCAAUCCAAUCAGUCGAGAGUGUAACGUUUUCUAUUCAAUUUACAACCUAUGUAUUUAUAUAUGCUAUUUUUGUGUUUGCUUUUUUAUUACUGACUUUUUUUCGUUUGUUUCGCAGCAUAAUAUUAUUUUUCAUAUAACCUUGCGUUUUUAUUCAUCCGAGUACCAUUAUACAUGUACUGCGAGACACUGUGUGUGCGUACUUCUUUUUUUUUCUCCCCCCAUCAUUAUUGCUAGUAAUAUCGUUUCGUGCAUUGCUUUUCUUUUUGAUGAUGAUGAUUAUAUUCUGAUUUGAAUUUAUUUUUUGGACAAUCGGAUUUUUUUUCAAAAAAUUCAUUCUUUUUUUCUGCACCAUUGAAACAUGUUACAUUUUUAAGAUACUUACAUAAACCUCGUUAAUUGAGCGUACAUAAAUAUUUAUAUAUAUAUAUAUAUAUAUAUUUAUAUGUAUGUAUAUAUACAAAUAUACAUGUGUACAUGUACAUGUACAUGUUUAUCGUACAUACAAAUCAUAGACGACUAUUUUGUCAGCACCAUACACUGCGAUAUUAUCGCGAAUCAUGAAUCUUGCUGCUAAAGAAUUUUAAAUAAGGAAGAAGAAAAAAAAAUUGAAAGUCGCGAAAAUUUCACGCAAGCGUAACACAAGAUUGUUCUGAUACUUUGCAAUCGCAAGUGUCAUUCCACAAUUUGUCAAUCAUCAAGUUGUAAUCACUUAUCUCUGCAACGCCUUUGAAGGAUGAAAAAAAAAAAAAAACCAAUCAUAUAAAUAUUGAUCAUAAUUAAUCAUACUAAUCAUACAAUAUUUAUAUAUGUAUAUAUGGCAUAAAAAGGCAUUGCAUACCUGUUGUCAAUUUUUUUUUUUUUACGCACGAAUCCGUGAUACUAUGAAAGCGAAGUAAAAACAAAAAUGCUUGGUUCUGGGUAUUAGCAUUGGUCUCUUACUAUACUCAUGUAUAUGUAUGUGACGAGAAGGAAAGUGUGAUUGAAAAAAAUACCAGAAAGAAAAUAAUGUUAAUUCUGUACACGUAUCCGUGUCGGCUAUCAUGUAACUUACAUCACUAUAUAUAUGUACACACAGAUUGUGUUUUGAUUUUGAAAAAUAACUAGGAAGAAGAAGAAAAAGAAUAAAGAAACCAAUUCGAAAAGCAAAUGAGUUGAUUUGCGUGGAAUCGCAAAAUCGAUAUGGAAUAUGGAGAAUAUAGUAUGGUAGUGAUAAAUUUUGAGAGUUUAUUAUUCACUAAACUCUUCUUGGUUGCCUCUUGAUGCGAUACAGUUUAGAUUAUCCUUGAUAUAUAUAUGUAUAAUGUAUAUGUAUAUAUAUAUAUUAUGUGUGUAUAUAUAUAUAUAUACACAUAAAUAGCGUAUUAUUAUUCCUAUUAUUAUUAUUAUCAUUAUUAUUAUUAUUAUUAUCAUUUUUAUAUUUACUCAUAUACUCUAUUCAACUGUACUGUGUUUCGUAAAGCAUCGUAUCUACCUAUCUUCACACUCACACACGCAAACACACACACAGAGAGAGAUCGAGAGGGAGAGAGAGAGAGAGAGAGAGAAAGAGAGAUACGCACUGCAUCAUUGAUACAAUAAAUUAAUCACUCAAAACAACAAUCAUGUCAUGUCAAGCAACGUAUGAAGUAAAUGGUCUUUUUUUUUUUUAUCAGCGGUCUCUUCCUCUGUACAAUAUAUCAGCGUUCAUGUAUCUAAUGUCAAUAUUUCUAAUAUUUUUGUAAUUCUUGAAAAAACAAGAAAAUUCGAAUUCAUAUCAUAUUGAAAAUCGUCUCGAUUGAAUAAACGUAGAUUGACAUUUUGUAAUACUUUUGAUCAUUCAACGUAUCAAUUCCUAGCCCGAAAAGAACUGCUUCUUUUGUUAUUUCUUCUCUUUUGUUGUUAUUCUGUUUCUCCUGAAUCUAAAUCUGAAAGUGAAAUAGUAAACGCAAAAAUAGAACACACAAAAAAAAAAAAAAAUACCUACUGUUAACAAUUGAAGCUUUCUGUCUUCUUUCUAUAUGAAUAUUCGUGUGCUCAAUUCUGUAGUGUUAAUAAGAGUAAAAGGAAGAAAGAGAGAGAGUGGAAAGUUAAUACGAGAGGGAGAUAUAUAUAGAGAGAGAGAGGAGAGAGAGAGAGAGAGAGAGAGAGAGAGAGAGAGAGAGAGAGAGAGAGAGAGAGAGAGAGAGAAUCGAUAUACCUUUAAUAAUCAAGAUAGUUGAUUUUUUCAAAUCGCGAUUAUAAUCAUAAUUAUUGUAAAUUGAAUAAAAAUCCCAAUCAAAUCUGAAGUUGCAAAUUGCUAGACCAGUUAAUUAUGUAUAAUAUAAUUGAUUUGCGGGCGUUAUUCUGAAAGUAAUUCAUCUUUCAUACUGGCGUAACACGAGAAAAUUCAAAAUCUUUCAAAUAUGUACCAUACAAUUGGUCCGGCAACGUUACCGACGAAAUAUGAUUGUGUGUUCUUUAUAUAUAUAUUAAUAUCUAUUAUUAUUAUUAUUUUUUUUUUUUAUAUAAACAGAUACUAUAUGAAAACAUUGACUUCAUUUCUUAGUAACGUAAUAAUCAAUUUAGAAGAAAGAAAAAAAAAAAUGAAAAUAAAUGAAAAAUAAAUAUGGGAGUAUUCAUACGUCGCAUUAUUGUAGGCCAGGACCAUAGGAAGAUAUAAGCAUGUGUGGUUGAAUUUCUUCACGCACAUAUUGCUGAAGCUAUUAUUAUACAUUGUGUGCUUAGCGAAAGAAAGAAGAAGAAAAAAGAAAAGACGAAAAAUUGAAGGAAAAAAAAAACAUGGCUAUUCUGUAUCACCUUGUUGAAUAAAGCUAGGCAUAUUUAAUACAAACAUAUUCCUUUGUCUUCCUUUCAAAUCUGAAAUUGCAAAAGAAUGGACUUUGCAAAUGCGUGUAUUGUAUACGCGGAUCCAGGGUAUAUAUUUUGCAAUUACUAAAAAAGAAGAAGAGAAAAUUAUAACAUAGACUCUGUUUUUCAUUCCUAACGAUUGAAAUUGUUCUUAGAAACGCUUUAGUGAAUUUAGUUUACUUUCUCUCUAUGCGUGUAAUCGUUAUACUUUUCCUUUUCUUUCCAAAAAUUCAUUUGAUGGAAAUACAUUAUAUUUCACGUCCGUUCUUUUGCAAUUUCAUAAUUUGUGUAUCCCCUUCCACGUUCAUACAGGUCCAUUGUACGUAUCUCCCGACGAUAACUCCAUCGAGUUGUGAUAAACCCCCAUCCGCCCAAAAAGAAAACAGAAAAAAAAAAAUUAACAAAAAAAUCUAAUAAUUUGUAAAUACGUAUUGUUACUUUGCUUAAUUACGACAUGGUGAAAAAAAAAAAAUUUGCAUAUCUGAUGGAAGAACUUGCAAUUUCGAAUCGAUGAUCUUCUAUUCGCUACUUACACGUUAUUAAAUAUGAUUGUUCGACAGAACGUUUGAAUUUCUACAACAAUAGUAAUGAUAAUUUAAAUAAUCGAUUGAUAUUUCUCUUUUUUUUUUUUCUAUUUUGUGAUAGUUGUGCGAGGGUGUGCGAUCUUCGAAGAUCAAAGAAAGAAAAAGGUGAAAAUGUUGUACGCAGAAAAAUUUUAACUCUGAUAUAAUUGUUGUUCCUUUGAUGGUUCUUCUUCGACGAAAAUGAUGCUAAUAAUUUCGAUGAUAAGACUGUAUGUAUAUAUAUAUAGGUAUAUACAUACAUAUACGAAUGUAUAAAUAUAUCUGUACAUAUAUUUAUAUAUAUAUAUAUUGUAAAACGUACAUGCCGAAGAGCGGGGAGACUCGUUCAGAGAGAUCUAAAGAGAAAAAGAGAGCGAGAGAGAGCGAAGAUGUAUCCAUCCAACCAACUUGACCCAGGCUCCUGCCCGCUACCGGAUAUCGAUGGAGACAGCAGGAAUGGCGAUCCCAGCGUAUCAUUACAUAACACCGAACCACAUCGUUAAAUCUUCGAUUCACUAAAGACGGGCUCUACGGAAAGAGUUUGAAGAAGAAGCAAAUGUUGGAGAUGAAACAAAGAAACAGUAAAGAGUAAAAAGGAUAUACAUACACACACACACACACACACAUAUAUAUAUAUAUAUAUAUAUAUAUAUAUAUAUAUGCAUACAUAAAUAUAUAUAUAUAUAUAUAUGUACAUAGCGAGACACAUAUAUACACAAUGCUGUCAAAGCGUUUGGGGCUGAGCCAAAAUUGUGUUCAUCCAACCAACUUUUUGCAGUAAUUAUUACGCGUAACGUGAGACGUUAUUACGUGGUUAAAUACGCGCAAACAAAUAUGAAACAUGUUGGAGCACUUUGUUGAAGUGUAAUAACUUGUAUAAAGUACGCAUUGCGACAUGAUGCUGCAGCCCCACGAGCUGCUGCUGACGAUUGGUAAAGGGAACAAGCCAAAGAUAUGUUAGUUUUCAUUUUUAUAUAUUUAAACAAAGAUAAUGAAAAAAAAAUUUUAAAGUAAAAAGAGGACUAAGGAAAGGUGAAUGAGAAGAGGCCGAAGAGGAGGAAGGAAAAUAAUAAUUAGGAGAAGAAUGAUAGUAGUAAGAUAUUCGUGCGAGUAUUUCUAGACUGGUUGAUGUUAGACUGUUUUCUUUUCUUUUUUUUUUUUUUAUUCUUUUUAAUCGACAAAUGUGGCACAGUCGAAAUUCUACGGACACGCUCAACGUUGCUCGCGGUAAUUGGAUCUGUUUCUGACCGACUUGCAAUCAAUUUAUAAGAAUCGAGGAUCCUACUCUGGGUUCAAGCAAGUCUGGCGUGUCAUUUUUUUUUUUUUGUUUUCCCCUCUUGUGAAUCGAGUUCCAAGGCAAGGAAGAUAGAGUUCUUCGGACUUACGACAGAUUGCAAGUGACAAGUCAAAUGUACUGAAAAUUGUGCAAACAAAAGCAUCAAAGUAUGACUUGAGUUAAAUUUUGAGCACUAAGUACAUUUGAAAUCAGUUUUCUUCUUGCGUAGCUUGUCUGAAACUUGUAAAAAAGCGCUAGACACGCCGAAGAACUUUCGCGGAUUGAUUAGAAGUUUACGAUCGAAUUUCAAUCUUCUAGCAUCACUCGUAAAUUCACAACAAUAAACAGUUUACCUUGGCAAUAUUUUUUACAAUUCAAUUACGACGAGCCGUCGAGCCUGCGAAUUGUGGAACUGACAACGAGUACAAAGUACUCAAAAUACGUCAUAUUUAUAUAAAAAUUGUAGUUGCGUAGCUUUUGCAUGCAAACUCAAUUCGAAAUUAUUAUUGUUGAUAGUUAUUAGUUACUAUUAUUAAUUAAUAUUAUUAUUAUACGGUGUUAUUUUAUACUUGUUAUGCAGUGUUCAAGGACACUCGAUGAUGAAGACCUUAUGUAUAUACGACUGUCUGACUUGGAUAAAAUGAUAUCAUUUUACUGCUGCAAUACGUGUUUUACCUUGCGAAUGAUGAUGCGAAUUCAAUGAGCCGGCGUUAAUUAUACGAUUGACUUUAGCAAAAGAGAAAAAAAAAAAAAAAGAAAGAAAAAAAAACAAACAAACAAACAAAACAAAAAACUAUAAUAGACUUGUGAACCAAAUAUUUACUCGUAUAUGCAUAUGAUGUUAACGACUACAAUUAUACGUACAUAUAAUAUAUGUUAUACGUGAAAGAAAAAAGAAUCAUUAAAUGAUUUAAUUUUUUCAAAUUACUUUCUUAUUGAAACGUUAAGUCAUUUUCGAGGCAAAAUUCAGUUGUGAAUACGAAGAAGACGAGGAAGAAGAAGAAGAAUAAGACGUGAAUAAAAAAAAAAAAAGUGACGACAAAAUGAAGGGAAAAACCAAACAAAAAAAUUAUUAUUAUCAUUAUUCUAUUAUUAUGUGAAGUAUGAAUAGUAAUAUAUAUUUAUUAUACAAUUAAAAAUUAGGAUAAAUGAAAACAAAAAAAAAAAAAGAAAAACAAAGAAAAAAAAAAGAAAUAUAGUAGCGAGAUAAAAGUGCGAAUUUAAAGCCUAAGUUCGAAAUACGAGGCGUUAUUUUGCCGCUCUCUCUCUCUCUCUCUCUCUCUAUCCAAUAUCAGUAUUUUGCGAGAUACACUUCAACGCAGCAUCUCAGGCAGAUUGAUUGCGAUUGUGGCAUAGUCUGAUUUUAACGUUAACGUGUGGAGAGAGAAAACCAAAAAAAAAACAAUAAUUUCAAUCACAUUGUAAUUCAUUGUUGAGAAGAACAAUUGUAUCUGCCUUUUAUGCGAGCUAUUGCACAGAAGGAAGAAAGUUAUUCUGUGCCAACGAUCGAGAAUACUUAUCAUUCUGACUCUUGAAAAAUGAAAAGAAGAGCAAUAAAUUUUCCCGUAUGGAAAAUCUUUGGAUAUCUGCGAAUGCUACAACUAAAUCAUCUCGCGUUAUUAUCUGAAUUCAAAUUGAAAAUCCGUUGUAUCUUCGAGUUACGAACACUUCCAACGCGUGCCAAAAUUCCUCCACCACUCCGAUGCUUCCUUGUUGAUAUUUAAUUUCUAUUCGUGACAGUAGAAUUUUCUCCAUCUGUCUCCUGUAUUUUUAAAACUUUUCGUCAUAUCUUGCUGCCUGGGAGAAGAAUUAAUUCGUCGAUCGAUUAUAAAAAUAUCGUCAAUCUUCAAGGUAUUCUAGUAAAUUUCACGCGGCGUAAUUAUCCCUAGAAUACUUUGUCGGUCUUACAUUCAAUUUAAAAACAUCCAAACUGUCUUGCUUCGGCCCCUCGACGACUUGACGUUAUCAAUAUUGAUUGACUCAUUGAAUAAUUAAAUUAUUGAUUAAUUAUAGUAUACUUAGAUGAAAAAUUAGUGAGAGAAGACGCGGUAUGAUUGUGUAUCAACAAUAAAUAUUGCUGUGAUUAGAUUUUGAAAUAUAUAGUAAUAGUAGUUAAGGGCAAUUUUUUUAGAACGACGAGUAAGAAAUAAAAAAAAAAAAAAAGUAAAAAAUUUAAGUAAUUAAUAAUAAAGUAAAUUGUAAACUAAUCAGAAAAAAAGAAAAAGAAAAACAGUUGAACAAUAUUUGAACAGGAAAUGUAAGGUAAUCAAAUUGUUUUUUUUUUUUUUUUGGUUUUUUGUUGUAUUGUUGCUUUUUCUAUUUUCAUUUUUCUUUUUUUUUUUUUUCCUGUUUUUUCAACAACAUACACUAUAUUACCGAUAUUUACGAACGUAGACGCAUUGGCGGCGAGUGGCAUUAUAUGUACCGAACAAAAUGAAUAGACUGAUAAAAAAUACCAGUGCGGCUACGACGUUGAGUGUAUAUUAAUGUAAAGAUUGAAUUUAAACGUAAUUGAAGAUAGAAAAUGAGAAGGAAGAAGGAACCCAAGCGAUACGAGUUCGUAUCAAUAUCAGUAAGAUACUGAUGGUAAAAAAAACAAAAAAAAACAAAAAUGAUUCCAACAUUUCACCUAGGCAAUUAAUAUUAUUACAAGGUACGAUUCACCGGGGAUUAUAAAAGAAGAGGGGAAAAGAAAAACAAAAACAGAUACGACUAUUGUGAAGUGGCUAAUGGGCGACCAAUUCACGAUCAGUGAAAAGUCUUUGUAUAUUUACUUGACUCUAAAAAUUUUUGAAUAUUAGAAAAUAUUUCGACGUCUUUUUGAUUGAGAAAAAUAAUUUUUUUUUUUUUUUCCGUUUCGUUUGUUUCAAACCAAAAUUUUACAGUUGAUGCAAUUGCACAGAAACAAUGGUAUAUGAUAUACAUAUAUAUUGUAUAAAAUAAAUUUCAGAUACAUAUCUGAGAACAAAUACUAAAUAACUUUAUUAUUAAAUAGAUUAAAAAGUUAAUAUAUAGAUUAUACAUAGUAUAAAUUACGUAUAUCUCUUGCUCCAAUACCGCUCAUCUAUUUAUUCACUGUACCAACUAUCAUUAUCAUUAUGAUAAUUAUUGUUACUAUCAUUAUCAUACGUAUUAUUAUAUCUAAGAGGUAUAACAAUUUCGAUUCAAUCAAAUCUUUUAGGGAUUCGCAUACUUAUUGUAUCGUACAUACGCAAAUGUACAGUUACGCGCUAAGUAUAAUUAUGUCUAAUUUAUAUAGCCAGCUAUCGGAUAGUAACAAGAUUCUCUUACAGUUGUUUUAUUGCGAAAUACUUUUAUUAUUAUUACUAUUAUCAAAUGACGUAUUUUUCUUUCGACAGUUGAAUUGAAUUUUAUUGUGCACCAGUCAUUGAGACAUUAGACACAACCGUUUAUAUAUCCCUUUCUAAUCACUGACUGCUUCUCAUGAUCGAAUCUGAAAGCAUCUGCUCUAUGUAUAAAGGAAAAAAAUUGUAAAUACUCGAAACUUCCGCAGUAUUGCUCGAGCUUGAUUUUGAAUUUAGAAACGAUCGUUGAUUUAUUUUUAUAUUCGUAAAGUUUUCUUUUAAGAUUUUCUCUCACGAGGUUUUACGUAGAAUGGUCAUUUCAAUCGUAAGUAUUCUUCCCAAUUGGUCUAAAUAAAAGAAAAGAAAAAACAAAAUCGUUUUUCGAAUGUAUCGUUUAGGUUUUUGGAUAAUAUGAAACAGAAACAUUUUUAAAAAAAUCUUGUCGAAUUGAAGCAAGAAUUCUUGUCGAGGCAUAGAGCAAUCUGUUAGAGCAGGGGCCUUAAUUCUAACUGCACAUUAUACUGAGAACUAAAACCACCUUCAUCGAGAAUAAUAGGAGUUCCAAAAGCAGAAGGGAACACAAAAUAAAGAAAGAUGGAAAAAUAAUUAAGAAAUCCAAGGAGACAAAAUUGUGAAAAGCGUGAAUCAGUUCCCAACCUUUAAAACGUAACGCAAGGCAAUCAGCUAAGAAUAAUAAUAAUUAAAAGAAAGAAAAUAAUAAUAAAGUAAUAAUAACUUAGUUUUUAUAGGAUGUUAUAAACGUGUUCGUCUCUAAAACUAAUCAUUAUAACCUGUCGACAAUUUGAAACAAAUAAAAAGAAGAAAAAAAAUAUUGAAGUAAUAAAUAAAUUUAACAAAAUCGACUUCAAACGGCGGACUUGGUAGUUUUUUGGAGGCAUAUUUUUUGUAUGGUGGAUAAAUAGUGAUGAAAAUUUUUUUAAAUAUAAUAAUAAUAAUAAUAAUAAUACUUUUAAAAAAUUAUUGAAACAAGUAGGUGAAAAGAGAAGAAGAAAGAGAAACGUCACUUCGAGACAGAUUUUGUGCCAAGUUGGAAAGAAUUAUCCCGUCAAAGUAUGUAGUAGAGGUAAUAUCAGCUCAACCGCGUGCCAAGCUAAUAGAUGUGUGAACUAGUGCCAAUAAUAAAAAUCGUUGAGGUGAUUUCAAUUGUUACAAUUAAGCACUGAAAUUCUUACAACAAACCGGGUGAAUUUUUUACUUUUCUCCUAUUAAUUUUUGGCUCCUUGUUACUUCUUAACCGACGAUGUAAAUUAUUCCGCUUCGUUCGCUGUAAAUUUUUAAUAAUCGAAGUAAUAUCGUUUUUACAACAUUUUUGACGCAAAUAGGAGAGUAUUAUGUCGCAAGAGGUAUGGACACCAAUAUAAUUAUUAUUAAUUGUCUUAUCGAUUAGCUUUAAAUGCACGAACAAAUAAGAAGGAUAUGAUGUAAUGAAGAAUUUUCUUUUUUGUUUUUCACUUUUUUUUUUUUAAACCAUAUGUAAUACUAUCGCAGUCGUAAAUAUUGAUUCAAACAGCAGGUUAUUUAUAACCGAACAGCUAACGCUGCUAUGUGCAUUAUAAACUUGUACAUGUUUAAGAGCAAUUUUAAUUAUGGGUUUUAAAAAAAGAUACCUGAUAUAUAAAAAUAUAUAUGUGUAGGGUAAUUAUAUUAUCGGGAGGCUUCUCAGUACGAUAUAUAUAUAUAUAUAUAUAUAUAUGUUAUCCGUACGUACGAUGUAUUAUAACCGCAAUACGAUCUUAUAUCGUUAUUAGUAUCGUAAAGUGAGAAAUUUUCGCGUGAUAAUUAUUAUUUUCUUUCUUUUUUUUUUCUCUUCUCUCUUGUUCCUCGUUCGAGUUGUGAAAACUAAAACUCGCGAUCAACAGUAUUUCCUGUUUGUAUUUAAAAUAGUAAUACUUGAUGUAAGAUCAAUUUCAAAGGCCACUGUUAUGCAAAGUUGAGACAGGUACGUACGUACGUAUUAAACCGCUGUCGAUCGGACAUAUCGCGAAUUGAAUCCCUGAUCCAAAUAUAGAAGAAAAAAAGAGUGCGGUAAUUGUGAAAAUUUAGCUCUUGUUUCAUUUUCGUUUUGUUUAAAUUCACUCGCCCCCCCCUUCCCCCCCCCACCCCUCUCCCUGUAUCUUCGUUUUUUCUUUUGGCCAAACGAAUUACUUGCGUUACGAAGCCUUUAUAUGAAACAGGGUCAUGUAUAAAAUAUAUUUAACACGUAAUACAUACGAAGUAUUUAGGUUGAAAAAGAAGUGGAAAAAGGGUAAAAAGGAGACGGAUAAAUUGUAUAGCUGUGUGUGUCAUGUCGAGAGUACAAUAGUGAUGAUAUCUUUAAAAACUUGUAAGAACGGUGUAAAGCAGUGUCGAAAAAAUUGCGAAAAGGAAAAAAAAAGUACGAAAACAUAUGAAAAAGAAUAAAAAGUUAAACUAAGAUUUAGUACUGGAAGGAUGUAAAUCAAUUUACAAUGUAUAUCGUUAACUUAUUAGACACGAUUGUGAAGAAGAAUAAAAAAGACAAAUUGUAAUAAACGGGAUAAAAUGGAGUUGUUACAAAGUUCCGUUUUUAUUACGCAUGCGGUGAAGUUGACUGGCGUUGAAUUUAAAACGUGCAGAAGCGUUCCUUGUCACUCGGUUAGGAAAAAAUAAAAAUUACGAAUAACACAGAGCUGGAGGGAUGAAUAUUACCAGAUCACGGGGAAAAAUAUUUGAAUAAAAAAUACGUAGUCAAUAUUUUAUUCAAAUUUAUCAAUUUGUUAUAAUUGAGCACCUAGAAAUUGUAACAUGUGAUGUUGCAGUGAGAUACGCAUCCGCAUUCUGUUACUAAACACUCGGCUACCGCGACAUAUAUUACCGUCAUUAUUAUUAUAAUUAUUAUUACGAUAAUACUGCACGUUUGAAACAAACAAAAAAUAACAAAAAAAAAAACAAAAAAAAAAAAAUAACAAAAAAACGAAGCGAAGUGAAAUAGAAAUAAGAAUUUUCAGAAAAGUACAUUAUUUCAGGGUAAUGUUUUUUGUAAAAUUGUCUGCUACGCAAUAUUUAUAUACAUACAAUAUAAUAUUAUGUAUGUAUACAUAUAUGUAAAAAAUUACGAUAUAUAUAUAUAUAUAUAUAUAUGUAUAUUUAUACAUAAUCACGACGCAAUUGUAACAGGACUAAAAUAAGAAAUUCAUGUAUACCUACGUUUAGCGAUAUAAAUCGAAUUAUACAUAUAAUAUAUGUAAUAAUUCAAUUUAACAAUAAUGAUAAUGAUAAUGAUUCAGAAAAUUUAAAUACGAAGAGUAUCGUCAUUAUCAUGCGUGUAAAACAGAUAUGUGAAUGUAAAUGAUGUUACUGUAUGUAUCGGUUCAAAAAUCAGAGUCAAAGCGAAAGGAAAUGACACGAUUACGGUAGAAUCUGUAGCUAACUAACACAUAUCUUAUACAAAGUUACGUGUAUGUGAUAUAUAUGCAUAUGGUCGUUAAAUCGCAUGCGUCGCCCACGCAGGUAGGCUGCGAAAAUAUAAUAUAAUACAUCAUUUAUGUACCUUGGCGAUAAGUCACAAGCCCUUCGUGUAAUAUUGCACCUCUUCUUAUGUACUAUAUUAUGUACAGCUGUUUCAGAAAAAAAAAAAAAAAAAAAAUUUCUAUCGGCGAUAAGAAAUUAUUCAUGCAACAAUUCGACGAGCAAAAUUUGAAAUUGAGUAAGUGUAAGA
rnacentral:misc_RNA from 1 species